rnacentral:rRNA from 1 species
UAGGGAAUCUUCCGCAAUGGGCGAAAGCCUGACGGAGCAACGCCGCGUGAGUGAUGAAGGUCUUCGGAUCGUAAAACUCUGUUAUUAGGGAAGAACAAAUGUGUAAGUAACUAUGCACGUCUUGACGGUACCUAAUCAGAAAUCCACGGCUAACUACGUGCCAGCAGCCGCGGUAAUACGUAGGUGGCAAGCGUUAUCCGGAAUUAUUGGGCGUAAAGCGCGCGUAGGCGGUUUUUUAAGUCUGAUGUGAAAGCCCACGGCUCAACCGUGGAGGGUCAUUGGAAACUGGAAAACUUGAGUGCAGAAGAGGAAAGUGGAAUGCCAGGUGUAGCGGUGAAAUGCGCAGAGAUAUGGAGGAACCCCAGUGGCGAAGGCGACUUACUGGACUGUAACUGACGCUGAUGUGCGAAAGCGGGGGGAUCAAACAGG